rnacentral:rRNA from 1 species
UACAGAGGGUGCAAGCGUUAUUCGGAUUUACUGGGCGUAAAGGGCGCGUAGGUGGUAAAGCAAGUAAGAUGUGAAAGCCCUGGGCUUAACCUGGGAAGUGCAUCUUAAACUGCUUAACUUGAGUAUGGUAGAGGGUAGUGGAAUUUCCGGUGUAGCGGUGAAAUGCGUAGAGAUCGGAAGGAACGCCAGUGGUGAAGACGACUACCUGGACCAAUACUGACACUGAGGCGCGAAAGCGUGGGGAGCAAACAGG